AGUCGCUCUGCCAUUUCUAAAUUUGUUCUGGAGGAUGGAGGUGCUGUGCCUUGUAUCGUCCUGGUGCCAAUUUUAUUUAAGACUGCUGAUUGUAAGAAGUUUGGGGGAGUUUUCUUGACAUACUAGAGACGAGAUACAUCUGUAUCGUUUUCAGCUAAUAGCCGGAUUAUGGCUUUGUACGUAAUAUGGAAGCGCACAAGGACUUUUUGGAACUCGUGCCUUAAUCCAAGUACCGGAUCAAUGGUUUAUAUCGGUCAAGGUCGGCCAGGAUUGGUGUUAAUGGCUACCUGAAUUGACUUGAGAUGGGAAGUGUUAAUGACUGCUCCAAUCGAAACGGGACUUGUAAUGGAACACCUAAUACUACAAUACCAUCGCAGGUAACAUCUAUUGGAUCAGGAGAACGACGGACCUCACAUAUCUCGUGCAGGAGUAAAGUAAAGAUGAUCGUAUCAACCCGACCAGAAAGAUGGAACGACAAAGUUUGAAUCGUGAAUUGAAUGGCCCAGUGGGUUGAGGAUGCUCCGAUUCUGAGCUUAGAUGCCAUCUGUACAUGCAGAGGAUAACUCCGUCUGCGGUUCGCUGUAUUAGCGCAUUUUUAGUUAUUAGCACAAUAAAUGGUACUCGUUUAGUUCAAUAUUCGAACUCUGCUGCAUAACUGAAAAGUUUUUAUUUUCAUACAAAAGUGAUAUUCUAUGCAUGUAAAAUACGUAUUAUAGUCGUAAGUAUGUCUGAAGGCGUAUAGAGAAUAAAUACAUAUGUACAUGUAAAA